GUUUGUUUUAACUUAAGAGUCAUAUUUUGAGGUUCAAUCAGUAAUAAUGUGUUAAGCUUCUUUACUUGUCACUAUUUUGUUUCUUAGUUUUAUAAUAUAGUUUAAAAUAUCAGUAAUUGUUCUUGUCUCAGCUUCAUAGUAUAGUUUAAAUUACCAGAAGUGACAGAUCUGACUAAUGUUUUUAUCAUUUGAGGUUGUUUCCAGAAUAAUGUUACGUUGUUUAGUUCUUACUAUUUUUUCUUCUUUUCUCAGUUUUAUAGCAUAGUCUAUACCAGGACUGACCAAUCAUUUUCAGUGUUCGUCUUAAAGUUUGGUUUUAAGAUGUUUUAUGUACUACUGUUUUCUCAGGACUUGUUUCUUUCUGUCUUAGUUUCAUCAAAACUAGAAGUGACUGAUCAGACUAAGUUAUUAUUUGAGUUUUGUAGUACAGUCUAUACCAGGAGGGACUGAUUAGACUCAAUUUCACCAUUUAAGUCUGUUUUUAAAUGUUUUAUGUUCUCAUUUCGUAGUAUUUGCUGUUCUGUUUUCUCAGUUUUAUAGUAUAGUGUAAACACUAAAAGUGACUAAUGAAA